AUUGAACGCUGGCGGAAUGCUUUACACAUGCAAGUCGAACGGCAGCACGGACUUCGGUCUGGUGGCGAGUGGCGAGCGGGUGAGUAAUGUAUCGGAACGUGCCCAGUCGUGGGGGAUAACGUAGUGAAAAUUACGCUAAUACCGCAUACGAUCUAUGGAUGAAAGCGGGGGAUCGCAAGACCUCGCGCGAUUGGAGCGGCCGAUAUCAGAUUAGGUAGUUGGUGGGGUAAAGGCCCACCAAGCCAACGAUCUGUAGCUGGUCUGAGAGGACGACCAGCCACACUGGAACUGAGACACGGUCCAGACUCCUACGGGGGGCAGCAGUGGGGAAUUUUGGACAAUGGGCGAAAGCCUGAUCCAGCCAUUCCGCGUGCAGGAUGAAGGCCCUCGGGUUGUAAACUGCUUUUGUACAGAACGAAAAGGUUUCUACUAAUACUAGGAGCUCAUGACGGUACUGUAAGAAUAAGCACCGGCUAACUACGUGCCAGCAGCCGCAGUAA
rnacentral:rRNA from 1 species